rnacentral:lncRNA from 1 species
UAACCUAAAUGAAUUAAAAAUACAAAAUAAUAAUUAUUAUAUUGAAAAUUUCCUUAUCGAAGAUUUAUUCUAAAUUAAAAUCUUCUUGUUCAAUAUCAUUCUACCCCAUUUGGUGAAAACUCAACUUUGAGUUUUGAAGUGAUGAAGGAUCAAUAAUGAUAAAGCAAGAACUUAAACUCCAAAUGCUUGCAACUCAGGAUUCUCAUAAACUCCGUGAGAAGAUAAGAACUUUAUUAUCAAAAUUGUAGAUUUAGGGGAACAUGAGUCAAAACAAAGACACAAGAAGGAGGUUGUUCAACAUGAUUGGCAAGAACAACUUUACUAAGAGAAAGAAAGAAGUUGCAAAAGAAAAUAAUGGUGUAGGUGCAGGGACCAUGCAGGAGAGGAAAUCUGGGGUGAUCUCCAUAACUUUUUUUAAGUUAAGGUUUAUUAAAGAGAGAUAGAAUUUUACAGCUCUACGAGAAAACCUUGAGAAAUUGGGUUCACCAUUGUCUUGGGAACACAUUACCAAUAAGGUAAGUUUGGAAAGAAAGAAACAACAAAGCGUUUGAUAAGUAUGUGGAAGCGAUCUCGCUUGCCACUCGCCAGAUAGAGUGUAGCGGGUGUUUUUCUUCGUGGACUGUCGCUAGGCGGCGAUGGUCGUUUCAGAUUACUAUGGUGGUGGGCUUGAGGCGGUUUUUAGUGCUUGAAUAAAAGUCUUUUGAUGUGGUUAGAGAGGGUAGCGGAGUUAGAAUUUACGAAAACGGGAGGGGCUUUCGGAAAUCAAUUUUCUUCUAGAAGGGUGAUAUUGAAUGGCUCAUUCAGUAUUUCAGAGAGUUUAUAUGGAAGGAGGAGGGGGCGUGGGGGAGGAGUAGAAGAAGCAGUUGGAGAAACCUUUGGAUGGCAUUGAGUGGUAACAAAAGAGGGAAGUUUCUGGUACUGUCGGAAGGGAUUGAAGGAUCCAAGGGGAGAAUCAACAGGACCUUCCUUCCAGAGGGGGACAAAGCUGAGGGGUGGUGGCAGAUGAUGGAAGCAAUCCAUGAGGUGGUGGGAGUGAAGUUAAUCCCCCAUGAUUGGGUUACGAAGAGAGGAGCAAAAAAAUGCACCGAUUCUAAAGAGUAAGAAGGAUCAGACGAUUUUUAUAUUCAGAUGCUCGGAGUGUUGCUUGAAAUUAGGCCUUCAAGAGGGGAAAUGGUUCGGAAAAAUAUUUGUUGAAACUUUUCUGAAACCGGCAAUUGAUUCUAUUCAGGUAGGGCAAGAGAACCUAUCUGAUCAGAGUGUGGUGGGUCAGGUUGAUUCAUAAUUUGAAAUUAGAAAGAAAGGGGGGCAUGUGAGGGAGUUUGAACGGAAACUAUAUUGUGAAAGAGUAAAAAAUGGGCUGAAAAGGAAAUUACUAUGGGCUAAGAAAGGGAAGUGGGUUGAUCAACCUAGGCCUAGUAGGAGUUUGGGUAGGGAGCGAGUCAAAGUCUAGAGAUCGAAGCGGGUGAAACUUGGUUCUCCAAAAAUUAGGGUUCCCGAGAGCCAUCAUUUUGCUCCCGAGAACUCAGAAAAGAAAGAUGAGGAAAUAGUGAGGGUUUUCCAGGGUGCAGAGACAGAAAUGUUGGAAAGUGAAAGGAUAAGGGGGGAGGUGGUCGCGAAGGGGAGUGAAGAAUAGUGUUUGUCGAUUCUUCA